UCGAUUUGUUUGGGUUUGGGUUAAAGUCUUACCAGUAAUAUUCAGGAUUUGACAAGAUGUCCAAGUACUUAUGAUUUUUCAAUUAUGAUUACUUCGCAGCUAAGUGUUUGCUUUGAUUUUAUUAAAAGUAUAAAUUCUUGGACCUUUAACGUGGUGUUUCGAUUUACAUUGUUGACUCGAAUCGAUGAUAGAUCAUAAUGAUCAGCGUGGAAGUGCGCAGUUGUGGAGGGGAGAAGAAUCGCGCUCCCAUCCUGCAACGGGGUCGGCACAGUCCAUUUCCGUUCCGGCGUCUCCUCUCUCUUUGUCCGCCAUUUUCGCCUUCUCCUGCCCGGUCGCCGAUUGUCUUCGCCAAAUCCGAGCCCGAGUUGACAAGUAAAAAUGGAAAGACGGGGUGGAUUCAGAGGCGGUCGUGGAGGACCUAUGAGAGGUGGCACACGUGGUCGGGGUGGCUUUACUAGUGACCAACCCCGAGGAAGGGGGCGUGGAGGAACAGGCCCAGGCAUGGGAGGAGGCCGUGGAACAUUCGUAAAACGCGAAGGCAUGGAAGGAACCCGGGGUGGAUUCCGAGGCGGGAGAGGUGGCCCUGAAGGCAGGGGACGAGGCGGCUUCAUGAGGGGCAACACCCGAGGGAACGGUGGCCCUCCACGCGGCGUACCGAGGAGCCGAGGAGGCCCUCCGAUGCCAGGCAAAAGACUGCUCGGCCCCCCAAAUCCCGUUUCUAACAAAAGGAGUAGAUUUGACGGGCAAUCUGAAUACGCAAAAUCCAACGGAUAUUCAGCACCAUACCCCUCUUACGACAACCAUCCUCCGCAACCAUCAUACGGGUCUCAGCCAGGUCCCGGUUAUGGUUCUUAUUCCUCUUACGAUACCCAUCCCACAGCCCCAGUUUAUUCUACCCAGACACCUGGAUAUGGUGAAUCUUAUGCUGAUGGCUAUGGUGGACGUGGUUAUGGUGACAGCGAUGGUUACAGCCAGCCCGGAGGGAACUAUUACGGCGGUAGCAGCGGCCAACCCGGUGGCGAUUACAACUACACACCAGCUCCUGACAUGAGAUACCCAUCGCAACCACCUGCAUAUCAGGAUCAGUAUGCUAAACCUCCACGCCCCUAUGAACAAUCUUACAGCACCAGUGGCGGUGGCGGAAGCUACACUUAUAACAACACUUAUCAGCCUGCUGGUGGCUACGGCGAGAGGCCUUAUCCUUCGUCAAGUGGUGGUUAUGGAUGAUGAAAAGAAAUCUUGGGAUUUGUCUGUUGAGCGCAAAAGCUUUUUGAUAUUCGCUGAGGCCUAACGACACGAACUCCGAGCGAUGGUUUUGUUUGUGACGAGACAACCUCAUGGAUCUCCUUCCUGCCAUGCGUGUGCAUAUGAUGAUGGAACGAUUGAUUUCUCAUUACUUACAACAGAGAAAUUGUUCAUCAAAGGCUCAUCAUGUCUAUUAAGUUAAAUUUCUCAAUUAUAAAAUGUACAAAUUUGUUAAAAGAUGUCCAAACAAGGUUUUUUAAUUUAUUGACAAAAUCGACCAAUAAUUGUAAUGAUGUAAUGAACACCUACAUCAUUCACUAUGUCAUUAAAAGGUUUUUUAAUGUUUAUAAUACCAGCAAUAAAAAGACGUCAGGGGGUGGCCACAACGGUUUAGGCGUUGA
rnacentral:misc_RNA from 1 species